UACAGAGGGUGCGAGCGUUGUCCGGAAUCAUUGGGCGUAAAGCGCGUGUAGGCGGCUUGGUAAGUCUGCUCUGAAAGCCCGGGGCUCAACCCCGGGAGGCGGGUGGAUACUGUCAAGCUCGAGUCCGGAAGAGGAGAGUGGAAUUCCUGGUGUAGCGGUGAAAUGCGCAGAUAUCAGGAAGAACACCAAUGGCGAAGGCAGCUCUCUGGGACGGUACUGACGCUGAGACGCGAAAGCGUGGGGAGCGAACAGG
rnacentral:rRNA from 1 species